AGGACCCAGCAGAGCUUCCACUGCCAAACUAAAGGAGGCUUCAGAGUUCUCAUGGACAGAGCUUCUUCAAGCUUCUUGGCCAUGUGCUGAGAGCCUGGACCUGCUCGGUUUUAUGAUCUACUGUUCUCCCAAACAGCCAGCUCUUAAUUCCUUCUGCACCAAUCUGCUUAGAGAUGCAAACCAAAUUUCAUCACACCUCACACUCUCAGUGAUCAGCAUUUCCUAUAAAUACCACUUACAUCUUAUGGAGUGAAGCUGUGACGGGGAACGUGUUAGGAGAAGAGGUGAAGAAAGAGCCAUGAGGGAAACUUGGAACCUGAGCCCUUGGCAUGAGAAAUUGGAGAAAUUGAGCUCCCCUCCUUUUAUUCUUUUUGGAACUUAUGGCAAACAAUUGCCUUUUGAAUGGCUGUGAUCUUAUUAAUAUACAUUUUUGCUUUGCUUUUGAGUAUUUAAUGUGCUCUCCAGAGACUGGUUCAAAGCCUUUAAAAUA
rnacentral:lncRNA from 1 species